rnacentral:rRNA from 1 species
UGGUCGAGAGGUCCUGCGCCGAAAAUGUCCGGGGCUAAAACACGCCACCGAAGCUCAGGAAUUGAUGAAUGUCAAUUGGUAGAGGAGCAUUGUUAACGAGAUGAAGCAGUACCGGAAGGAGCUGUGGAUUGUUAAGAAGAGAGAAUGCCGGAAUGAGUAGCGAGAGGAAGGUGGGAAUCCUUCCGGCCGAAUAUCUGAGGUUUCCAGGGUAAAGCUGAUCUUCCCUGGGUAAGUCGGGGCCUAAGGCGAGGCUGAGAAGCGUAGCCGAUGGAUAACAGGUUGAGAUUCCUGUACCACAAUAUAACAGAACUGUGGGGACACACGUGGAAAGUAUGAGCCGGGAAUGAAAAGACCGGUGCAAGCGAGGUAGGAGGCGUACAGGCAAAUCCGUACGCUGAUCUGAAGGCGUGAUGCGGACCGAACAAGAGUAGGGAAGCAUAUGAGCCAUGUGUCAAGAAAAGCCGCUAUCGUUUAUAUUGUGCCCGUACCGCAAACCGACACAGGUAGAUGAGGAGAGAAUCCUAAGGCCGACGGGAGAAGCAUUGUUAAGGAACUCGGCAAAAUGACUCCGUAACUUCGGGAGAAGGAGUGCCAGGUAAGACUGGCCGCAGAGAAUUGGCCCAAGCAACUGUUUAGCAAAAACACAGGUCUAUGCAAAACCGAAAGGUGAGGUAUAUGGGCUGACGCCUGCCCGGUGCUGGAAGGUUAAGGGGAGAGGUUAGGGACAAUGUCCCGAAGCUUUGAACUUAAGCCCCAGUAAACGGCGGCCGUAACUAUAACGGUCCUAAGGUAGCGAAAUUCCUUGUCGGGUAAGUUCCGACCCGCACGAAAGGCGUAAUGAUUUGGGCGCUGUCUCGGCAAUGCAUCCGGUGAAAUUGAAGUGCCAGUGAAGAUGCUGGCUACCCGCGCCAGGACGGAAAGACCCCAUGGAGCUUUACUCCAGCUUGGCACUGGGGCCCGGUGCUGCACGUACAGGAUAGGUGGGAGGCGAAGAAAGGAGAGCGCAAGCCCUCCGGGAGCCGUCGUUGGGAUACCACCCCUGCAGUACUGGGUCUCUAACCCGCCGCCGUAAGCCGGCGGGGGGACAAUGCCAGGCGGGGAGUUUGACUGGGGCGGUCGCCUCCGAAAGGGUAUCGGAGGCGCCCAAAGGUUCCCUCAGAAUGGACGGAAACCAUUUGAAGAGUGCAAAGGCAGAAGGGAGCCUGACUGCGACGCCGACGGGCGGAGCAGGUACGAAAGUAGGGCUUAGUGAUCCGGUGGCAGAACGUGGGAUUGCCAUCGCUCAACGGAUAAAAGCUACCCUGGGGAUAACAGGCUUAUC